GAGCACCUGUCAAAGCGACCAGAUUCGCGCGCGGACAAAGUUUACGAAACGUAAAAAAAAAAAACACGAACGGCAAUUUUGAGGGUAUUUCAAUUACCUACCCAAAUGCAUGCAGGAGUGCUCCAAAUAAAAGCACUCCACGUUGGUCGGAUACCAUCUACGCCAGGGAAACGCACCGGAGGCUGAUUGGAAACUUCAAGGUUUGACCGGAAUAAAUGGUGUGAUUGGGUGUGGGGGGAUCAACUUUUUGGAGUCGUCGACCUCCACCUGCAGUUCUUGACUCCUGGGGAUCAUCCUUCACCGCCACACACCGUUUUUCUGCAUCUGCACAUCGCCGAAGAUCGCCAUUAGCAAGCGUCGCUCCAAAUGUUUGCAGGUCCUCCUCGUACAUGGAAUUUGCCUCGAGUCGGUAUAGGACAACCGGUCUAAUAAGUAUUUUUG